AGAGUUUGAUCAUGGCUCAGGAUGAACGCUAGCGGCAGGCCUAAUACAUGCAAGUCGAGGGGUAGAUGGAGCUUGCUCCAUUGAGACCGGCGCACGGGUGCGUAACGCGUAUGCAACCUACCUUCACCUGGGGGAUAGCCCGGAGAAAUCCGGAUUAACACCGCAUAAAACCACAGCAGGGCAUCCUGCAAUGGUCAAACAUUCAUGGGGCGGAGAUGGGCAUGCGUGCCAUUAGUUAGUUGGCGGGGUAACGGCCCACCAAGACCGCGAUGGCUAGGGGAUCUGAGAGGAUGGCCCCCCACACUGGUACUGAGACACGGACCAGACUCCUACGGGAGGCAGCAGUAAGGAAUAUUGGUCAAUGGGCGCAAGCCUGAACCAGCCAUGCCGCGUGCAGGAAGACGGCCCUCUGGGUUGUAAACUGCUUUUAUUCGGGAAUAAACCCCACUACGUGUAGUGGGCUGAAUGUACCGAAGGAAUAAGGAUCGGCUAACUCCGUGCCAGCAGCCGCGGUAAUACGGAGGAUCCAAGCGUUAUCCGGGAUUUAUUGGGUUUAAAGGGUGCGUAGGCGGCCUGUUAAGUCAGGGGUGAAAGACGGUAGCUCAACUAUCGCAGUGCCCUUGAUACUGAUGGGCUUGAAUUGACUAGAGGUAGGCGGAAUGUGACAAGUAGCGGUGAAAUGCAUAGAUAUGUCACAGAACACCGAUUGCGAAGGCAGCUUACUAUGGUCUUAUUGACGCUGAGGCACGAAAGCGUGGGGAUCAAACAGGAUUAGAUACCCUAGUAGUCC
rnacentral:rRNA from 1 species